rnacentral:rRNA from 1 species
AUGUCUAGCGUGUUUCCCGCGUCGUCUCCGUCCUCCUGGAGCCGUCUCCCCCUCCCGAAGCCUCCUCGCUGGCGCUCGUCGCCGUGCGCCCACGGGCGAACUGUAGCCGACCGGCUCUGUUCGCGCCGCGGCGGCUUCCCUCCCUUGUCCCCGAGCUCCGCUCGUCUCUGCGACCACUACGGUCGUCUGUUCCUCCUUCGUCGCCAACCUACGAGCCCAUGCGCGUGCACACGCGUCCGCCGCGCCGGACACGCGUCCGCGGCGACACCCGGCUCGAACCGCCUCGCCCCCUCCUAUUUAAGGCCACCCCGAGGCCGUUUCUCUUCACCACUUGCCUCCUGCACCUCCUAUAGCCCCGCCCCAUGUCUUGCCCGAGCUCAAGAAGCUCUCGGUGCUCGACAUCGUCGGCAUGGCCGCCGCACGGCCUCGGCUAAAUUAGCCCGAAGUCGAUCCCCUCCCUCCGUCCCGUCGACACCUUAG